CAGGCUUAACACAUGCAAGUCGAGGGGCAGCAUGGUCUUAGCUUGCUAAGACUGAUGGCGACCGGCGCACGGGUGAGUAACACGUAUCCAACCUGCCGUCUACUCUUGGACAGCCUUCUGAAAGGAAGAUUAAUACAAGAUGGCAUCAUGAGUCCACAUGUUCACAUGAUUAAAGGUAUUCCGGUAGACGAUGGGGAUGCGUUCCAUUAGAUAGUAGGCGGGGUAACGGCCCACCUAGUCUUCGAUGGAUAGGGGUUCUGAGAGGAAGGUCCCCCACAUUGGAACUGAGACACGGUCCAAACUCCUACGGGAGGCAGCAGUGAGGAAUAUUGGUCAAUGGGCGAGAGCCUGAACCAGCCAAGUAGCGUGAAGGAUGACUGCCCUAUGGGUUGUAAACUUCUUUUAUAAAGGAAUAAAGUCGGGUAUGCAUACCCGUUUGCAUGUACUUUAUGAAUAAGGAUCGGCUAACUCCGUGCCAGCAGCCGCGGUAAUACGGAGGAUCCGAGCGUUAUCCGGAUUUAUUGGGUUUAAAGGGAGCGUAGAUGGAUGUUUAAGUCAGUUGUGAAAGUUUGCGGCUCAACCGUAAAAUUGCAGUUGAUACUGGAUAUCUUGAGUGCAGUUGAGGCAGGCGGAAUUCGUGGUGUAGCGGUGAAAUGCUUAGAUAUCACGAAGAACUCCGAUUGCGAAGGCAGCCUGCUAAGCUGCAACUGACAUUGAGGCUCGAAAGUGUGGGUAUCAAACAGGAUUAGAUACCCUGGUAGUCCACACGGUAAACGAUGAAUACUCGCUGUUUGCGAUAUACAGCAAGCGGCCAAGCGAAAGCGUUAAGUAUUCCACCUGGGGAGUACGCCGGCAACGGUGAAACUCAAAGGAAUUGACGAGGGCCCGCACAAGCGGAGGAACAUGUGGUUUAAUUCGAUGAUACGCGAGGAACCUUACCCGGGCUUAAAUUGCAGAUGAAUUACGGUGAAAGCCGUAAGCCGCAAGGCAUCUGUGAAGGUGCUGCAUGGUUGUCGUCAGCUCGUGCCGUGAGGUGUCGGCUUAAGUGCCAUAACGAGCGCAACCCUUGUUGUCAGUUACUAACAGGUCCUGCUGAGGACUCUGACAAGACUGCCAUCGUAAGAUGUGAGGAAGGUGGGGAUGACGUCAAAUCAGCACGGCCCUUACGUCCGGGGCUACACACGUGUUACAAUGGGGGGUACAGAGGGCCGCUACCACGCGAGUGGAUGCCAAUCCCCAAAACCUCUCUCAGUUCGGACUGGAGUCUGCAACCCGACUCCACGAAGCUGGAUUCGCUAGUAAUCGCGCAUCAGCCACGGCGCGGUGAAUACGUUCCCGGGCCUUGUACACACCGCCCGUCAAGCCAUGGGAGCCGGGGGUACCUGAAGUGCGUAACCGCGAGGAGCGCCCUAGGGUAAAACUGGUGACUGGGGC
rnacentral:rRNA from 1 species